rnacentral:rRNA from 1 species
AACGAACGCUGGCGGCAGGCUUAACACAUGCAAGUCGAACGCCCGUAGCAAUACGGGAGUGGCGGACGGGUGAGUAACGCGUGGGAACGUGCCCUGAGGUACGGAAUAACUGCGGGAAACUGCAGCUAAUACCGUAUGAGCCCCGCAAGGGGGAAAGAUUUAUCGCCUUAGGAGCGGCCCGCGUCGGAUUAGCUAGUUGGUGGGGUAACGGCUUACCAAGGCUUCGAUCCGUAGCUGGUCUGAGAGGACGAUCAGCCACACUGGGACUGAGACAUGGCCCAGACUCCUACGGGAGGCAGCAGUGGGGAAUCUUGCGCAGUGGGGGCAACCCUGACGCAGCCAUGCCGCGUGAAUGAUGAAGGCCUUAGGGUUGUAAAGUUCUUUUGCCCGUGACGAUGAUGACGGUAACGGGAGAAUAAGCUCCGGCUAACUUCGUGCCAGCCGCCGCAGUAACAC